UGGGGAAUAUUGGACAAUGGGCGCAAGCCUGAUCCAGCCAUGCCGCGUGAGUGAUGAAGGCCCUAGGGUUGUAAAGCUCUUUCACCGGUGAAGAUAAUGACGGUAACCGGAGAAGAAGCCCCGGCUAACUUCGUGCCAGCAGCCGCGGUAAUACGUAGGUCCCGAGCGUUGUCCGGAUUUAUUGGGCGUAAAGCGAGCGCAGGCGGUUAGAAAAGUCUGAAGUGAAAGGCAGUGGCUCAACCAUUGUAGGCUUUGGAAACUGUUUAACUUGAGUGCAGAAGGGGGGAGUGGAAUUCCAUGUGUAGCGAUGAAAUGCGUAGGUAUAUGGAGGAACACCGGUGGCGAAAGCGGCUCUCUGGUCUGUAACUGACGCUGAGGCUCGAAAGCGUGGGGAGCGAACAGG
rnacentral:rRNA from 1 species